rnacentral:rRNA from 1 species
UACGUAGGAGGCGAGCGUUGUCCGGAGUUACUGGGCGUAAAGGGUGCGCAGGUGGCCGUGCGCGUGGGGAGUGAAAUCUCCCGGCUUAACUGGGAGGGUGCGCCGAAAACUGGAAGGCUUGAGUAUGGGAGAGGUAAGCGGAAUUCCUGGUGUAGCGGUGAAAUGCGUAGAUAUCAGGAGGAACACCUGCGGUGUAGACGGCUUACUGGACCAUAACUGACGCUGAGGCACGAAAGCGUGGGUAGCAAACAGG